UUUUUUGUUGCUUUUUGUUCUUAAUUUUAUUUUUUUCUGUUUUUUUUUCUCCUUUUCC
rnacentral:ribozyme from 1 species